UACGUAGGUGGCAAGCGUUGUCCGGAAUUAUUGGGCGUAAAGCGCGCGCAGGCGGUCCUUUAAGUCUGGUGUGAAAGCCCACGGCUCAACCGUGGAGGGUCAUUGGAAACUGGGGGACUUGAGUACAGAAGAGAAGAGUGGAAUUCCACGUGUAGCGGUGAAAUGCGUAGAGAUGUGGAGGAACACCAGUGGCGAAGGCGACUCUUUGGUCUGUAACUGACGCUGAGGCGCGAAAGCGUGGGGAGCAAACAGG
rnacentral:rRNA from 1 species